GCCGCCCGCUUCCCGCGCCGGGCGGUGGGGCGGGGAGUGGGGCCGCGCCCCGCCCCCGCGCGGGCGGGAGGGAGCCGGGCCCGCAGGUGCACCCUGCCCGCCGCGGGCCGUCUCCGGGUUGGGUACCGGAAUAAUCCGCUUCCAGCUUGCUGGCAGGCGUGGGCACUCGGGGACGGGACUCCGCGCCGCUCCUCUCCUGCCGGGGCUUCCCUGGGGGCGAUGUUGCUUAUCGGAGGCUUGGGAGAGGCCUUCCUCCGAACGUGCCCCCUAAUUUGGGGUAUCCUUUAGGGAUAAAGAAAUUAGAGUUCUGGUCUCAGGGGGGCUGUUUUUGUUUUGUUUUGUUUGGUGUUUCUUAAAAAGCCAGCCGCAGUGAAGAAGAGCUGCUGCAGGUUCGAGGGUGGUGAGGUGCCAAGAAUGACAGUGAUUCAGACCUUCCCCACCAAAGCCUCUGGGACCUCUGCUUUUUACAGACCUGUGGGAAGAAUCCUGCAUCAUAACCAGGAAGUGCACGGCCGCCUGUAACGUGCCGCCGGUCCCGGGAUGGAGGAGUGAGGUCCCCGCUGCCGCCGCCGCCGCCGGGUCCUGCCUGCGGAGCGCCCCUCCCCGCUGAAGCCGAGUCCCCGGAGAGCGCCCUGAGGGAGCAGGGUGGCCGCCGGGUCCAGGUGCGUGGGGUCCGCCCGCGAGCAUGCGGGCCGGGGGUGCCCGGGGGGCCGGGGGGGCCGGGGGUGCCGCGCAGCCAGCCGUCCAGCCCCGCGCAGGGGUCUCCGCAGGGGUGGGGAGGGGAGGGGAGCAGAGGAGGGGAGGGGAGGGGGCGGCCGCCGGGACCUGCCCCCCUCGCUCGUGCAGCCCGGGAGCCCUCCCCGAGCUCCCGGC
rnacentral:lncRNA from 1 species